GCCUGAAUGGCUCAGUCGGUUAAGCGUCUGACUUCAGCCCGGGUCAUGAUCUCAGAUUGUGGGUUCGAGCCCCACCUCAGGCU
rnacentral:tRNA from 1 species